GCUCUUCUGAUCUGGUCAAAGAUCUGAGGAGCACAUCUCAGGAAACACAGCUGUAUUUAAUUUGGAACAAACAAUAGUGGAAAAGAUUUUGCAUUAGUUUUGCCAUUACCUAUAUUUCACUGCCAACGAAGCAGUGCAUCCAACUAUAAUGUGAACAGUUUUUAUUAACGUAUGAUAAGUAUAAAAUAUAUAAUUCAUUAAUAUUAACACUGAUAUACAUUAAUCCUGUAUACUUUUGCUGUAUUUUAAAGGUAAACAAUAGUUUAAUAUUAAAGGAUAAAUAACA